GGUAGGGUGGCCGAGUGCCUGGCGGCGGAUUGUAGCUCCGUGGACAGAGGUUUAAGCCCUCUUCCUACCA
rnacentral:tRNA from 1 species